GAAGAGUAGAUAAAGAAUUCUUAAUUAGUAGUAGUUAUGUUCUUGAAAAUUAAUAAAGAUGGCGGUAUCUUAGUCCUUUCAGAGGAACCUGUCCUGUAAUUGAUAAUCCACGUGCUAAAUUGCUUGUUUUAUGAUAGCUUAUAUAUCGCUGUAGUUUGAGUAUUUCUUUUGAAUUUUUAAUAUUCAUAAUUUUUAGGGAAAGUAAUUCAAGUCAAGAUGUAGCUUAUGAGUAAGUAGAGAUGGGUUACAAUAUUUUUAUAUGUGGAAUUAAAUUUGUGAAAUUUAUUGAAAAUGGAUUUGAGAGUAAUUUGGGAUUAGGUUUUUUGGAUGAUUUAGGCUCUAGGAU
rnacentral:rRNA from 1 species